rnacentral:rRNA from 1 species
UACGUAGGCAGCGAGCGUUGUUCGGAGUUACUGGGCGUAAAGGGUGUGUAGGCGGUUGUUUAAGGUUGGUGUGAAAUCUCCUGGCUCAACUGGGAGCUUGCAGGCGAAACUGCCGUGCUGGAGUGUGGGAGAGGUGCGUGGAAUUCCUGGUGUAGCGGUGAAAUGCGUAGAUAUCAGGAGGAACACCUGUGGCGAAAGCGGCGCACUGGACCACAACUGACGCUGAGGCGCGAAAGCUAGGGGAGCAAACAGG